AGAGGCCUGGAAUUGCUACCCUUUAUUUUUCCCUACUGUGUAUCUCAGGACUUUUCAUCAUGAUCUCAUUAAUGCUUACAGUCUCUCACGCAGCUUUAGGUUCGUGGCAAAAUUGGGAGGAAUGAAUUAUAUGCAACCUUUUAAGGAGCUGGGGGUACACGGAUGAACAAAAGACAAAACCUCCUGGAGCUCACCGACUAUUUUGUCUCAUAGCGGGAGGAACAAAAUAGCCCAUAAGCCAUGGUGCCAGCUGACCAGAGUUUUUGUCUCAAUUCUGCUCCUAUUUCACCAAGGGAACAACAGUGUAGCUGUAAAAAUAAAAAGGAAGAAGAAAUGGAGUGGGACAGCACUCAAAAGAGAAAAAAAAAAAGAACUAGAAGAUUCCCCUAGCUUAUUCUAUGACAGCUUAUACAAUCCUGGUUAAAAGAAAUGAUCUCUCUGUUAUGGCACAGCUGAUAUUCAGGGAUAAUUGAUCAAGUCCAUCUUUUCCCCAAAUCGAGUACAAUCCAUUUCAUGCAAAUAGCCACUGGUCUCAGCCCACACAGGCACGGUUUUCAAGCAGCCCAUUGCCCACUUGGGCCUGUAAACUUUAGGAAUUUCUUUUUGAAAGGCAUGGCAUGGACAUUUGAGAAGAGAGCCAAAUGACUGAGAACAAGAUAUAUUCUGUUUGGGGAGAAGACAGAGAAACAAUGCCUGGUGGGAUAGAGGGAGUAUGAAAACAAUA